GCUAAUACCGCAUAAUAGCUUCGGCUCAAAGAGGGGGACCUUCGGGCCUCUCGCGUCAGGAUAUGCCCAGGUGGGAUUAGCUAGUUGGUGAGGUAAUGGCUCACCAAGGCGACGAUCCCUAGCUGGUCUGAGAGGAUGAUCAGCCACACUGGAACUGAGACACGGUCCAGACUCCUACGGGAGGCAGCAGUGGGGAAUAUUGCACAAUGGGCGCAAGCCUGAUGCAGCCAUGCCGCGUGUGUGAAGAAGGCCUUCGGGUUGUAAAGCACUUUCAGUCGUGAGGAAGGCGGUGUAGUUAAUAGCUGCAUCGUUUGACGUUAGCGACAGAAGAAGCACCGGCUAACUCCGUGCCAGCAGCCGCGGUAAUACGGAGGGUGCGAGCGUUAAUCGGAAUUACUGGGCGUAAAGCGCAUGCAGGUGGUUAGUUAAGUCAGAUGUGAAAGCCCGGGGCUCAACCUCGGAACUGCAUUUGAAACUGGCUGACUAGAGUACUGUAGAGGGGGGUAGAAUUUCAGGUGUAGCGGUGAAAUGCGUAGAGAUCUGAAGGAAUACCAGUGGCGAAGGCGGCCCCCUGGA
rnacentral:rRNA from 1 species